ACGUAAGCAUGGUAUUCCUUUUGCGGGCUUUAGCCCCGAUGCUGCUGAAAUGAUGCUACGCUAUCCAUGGCCUGGC
rnacentral:tRNA from 1 species